rnacentral:rRNA from 1 species
UCUUGGUCAUUUAGAGGAAGUAAAAGUCGUAACAAGGUUUCCGUAGGUGAACCUGCGGAAGGAUCAUUAUUGAAUAAACUUGGGUUCUUGGUUCAAUUAGAGGAAGUAAAAGUCGUAACAAGGUUUCCGUAGGUGAACCUGCGGAAGGAUCAUUACAAUAUAAUAGUCCACGGGGGCAUGCUUUCUGAAAGGACAGUCAGUGGAUGUACGGUUACACUGGCUGAGCAGCGGAAAUACAAGUACGCUGAGUGAGCUGCCUGACUGAACCCCACCCUUGCUUUUUGCGCACCUAUUGUUUCCUCGGCAGGCUUGCCUGCCAGUAGGACCACUUUUAAACUCUUUGCAGUUGCAGUCAGCGUCAGAAAUAACGUAAUCGUUACAACUUUCAACAACGGAUCUCUUGGUUCUGGCAUCGAUGAAGAACGCAGCGAAAUGCGAUAAGUAGUGUGAAUUGCAGAAUUCAGUGAAUCAUCGAAUCUUUGAACGCACAUUGCGCCCCUUGGUAUUCCAUGGGGCAUGCCUGUUCGAGCGUCAUUUGUACCCUCCAGCCCUGCUGGGUGUUGGGCGUUUGUUCCGCUGCGCGCGUGAACUCGCCUCAAAUGAAUUGGCAGCCAGCCGUCUAGUUGUAGAGCGCAGCACAUUUUGCGUCCUCUUCUCAGUAUGGCGGCGUCCACAAGCCUAUAAUCUUACGCUUGACCUCGGAUCAGGUAGGGAUACCCGCUGAACUUAAGCAUAUCAAUAGCCGGGAGGAAGUUAUCUGGACAAAUUCAUGACAAUUUUGACCUCAAAAUCAGGGUAGGACUACCCGCUGAACUUAAGCAUAUCAAUAAGCGGAGGAA